UACGAAGGGGGCUAGCGUUGCUCGGAAUCACUGGGCGUAAAGCGCACGUAGGCGGCUUUCUAAGUCAGGGGUGAAAUCCUGGAGCUCAACUCCAGAACUGCCUUUGAUACUGGGAAGCUCGAGUCCGGAAGAGGUGAGUGGAACUCCGAGUGUAGAGGUGAAAUUCGUAGAUAUUCGGAAGAACACCAGUGGCGAAGGCGGCUCACUGGUCCGGUACUGACGCUCAGGUGCGAAAGCGUGGGGAGCAAACAGG
rnacentral:rRNA from 1 species